GCAGCCUGCUGAUUUGUGGACAUUCCUUUGCGGUUUUUAUCUGCCUCAUGGGUUCCUCCUUUCCUUUGAAGUCUUGGUGGCUUAGAGAGGAAGGCUGUCUUCUGUGGGGCUGGACCUGAUAAAUGGACAGCCUGGACCACGCCCUGUCCACCAUACGGUUUCCCUGGCCCUUAGGGACUCUGGCUCCUGAUCUUGGGUCACUAGCCUGGCUUACAGGGAAUUUUUUUCCUUUUUCUCUCCUAAAGGAGCCACCCCAGGGCAGCAUUAUGUGCAGGCUCUGGAGAGUUCCGGACACUUCGGAAAGGCUUCUCCCCAUACCAUUCGGAAUCCCAGCUUGCGUCCCUGCCGCCCUCCUACCAGGAAGUCCUACAGAACGGUCCAGCCUGCCCUGUACCGGAGCUGCCCUCACCCCCUUCCACCGUCUACAGUUCAGCAGGACAGAAGCCUGAGGCUGUUGUGCAUGCCAUGAAGGUUCUGGAAGUACAUGAGAACCUUGACCG
rnacentral:lncRNA from 1 species